GGUAUUCAGCUAAGUUUCAUAGGUCCAGAACUGUGAAAAGAGAAAUCCACUUCAGAAAGAUCCAUGAGCUUGGAAUAAUGCAAAUAUCAUCUCCUCGGAGAGGUCUUCCUUGACUGCUCAGUCUAUAUUAGCUCAUCACCUACCACCACCACCACCCCAACCAGUAACUCUACUGAAAACCCUGCUUUCUUUUCUCUAUAGCACUUAACACUAGCUAAAACUGUGCUUAUGUGUUUGUUUUUCUCAUGCCUGUUUUCCACUACUGAAAUCUAAGGCCCAAGAGAGCAGAACAGCAUGCAUGCUGCUCAGAACCCUAUCACCAACCCCAUGUACAGAGCCUGGUUCAUGAAUCUUACCUGAAGUAGAGAAACACCAUACUGAAGAAAGAGAGAAGAAAGAAAGAAAGAAAGAAAGAAAGAAAGAAAGAAAGAAAGAAAGAAAGAAAGAAAGAAAGAAAGAAAGAAAGAAAGGAAGGAAGGAAGAAAGAAAGAAGAAAGAAAAGAAAGAAAGAAAGAAAGAAAGAAAGAAAGAAAGAAAGAAAGAAAGAAAGAAAGAAAGAAAGAAAGAAAGAAGAAAGAAAGAGAAAACUGAAAUCAGUGGUUUGGACUACAGUAAAUAAAGGGGAAAAAAACUGACUGUGAAUCAGCUAACAUUUAGGACUUCUCUGUAGGAGUUGGAUAUUUCUCCUAGAGAGGUCAGCGGCUGCCAUGUAAUAUCUAUUCAAUCAGCUAGAACAUUUUGCUCUUUAGUAUAAUGAAGCUUGUAAAUAAAGCUAAGCUCUGAGUUGGUUCCCAAUGGGAAGAUCAUACAGUUUGCUUUGGUGGAAUGUCAAGACGUAAGGGGAAAAAGUGAUCAUCAAUAAACAAAUGCACAGAACUGAA